AUUACUUUUAUUACUUUUAAUGACCAUAUCGCUGGUUUUCCUCACUUUUGUAAUGGGGGGCCGUGCUGAGCGGAGUGGCGUUGUGUCUAUGUACACACGCGAUCAGCUGCUAGCGCUCUCGUAUACAGGAUACCUGCCCGGAUCUAGGCCUGUUAUCCCGGAGGAGCUCAGGAGGAGACGCCGCGGGUGCAGAGCCGGUGCAAAGAGAAGAGCAAAGAGGAGGAGGUUUAAACCAUCUGUCCUGUCGAUCAUCACCGGGAACGUAAGGUCUUUGGGAAAUAAGAUGGACGAGUUGUGGGCACUGAUUCGGACCCAGAGGGAGUACCGGGACAGCAGCAUUUUGUGCUUUACGGAGACAUGGCUGCAACCGGACUUCCCAGAACACAGUGCCUCCAUACCCGGCUUCAGGACAGUUCGGACGGACAGAGACGUCAGGCUGAGCGGUAAGAAGAAGGGCGGUGGGAUUGCAGUGUUUGUGAAUGAACGGUGGUGCAAUCCCGGACAUAUUACUGUGAAGGAACGUUUCUGCUCGCCGGACACUGAACUCCUAGCUUUGAGUAUGCGUCCAUAUUAUUUACCACGGGAGUUCUCCUCCGUCAUACUGGUCGGGGUUUACAUUCCACCAUCAGCUGAUGAGGCAUCGGCAUGUGACGCGGUACACACCACCAUUGCUAGGCUACAGUCUCAGCACCCCGAUGCUUUUGUGGCUGUUACUGGAGAUUUUAAUCAUGUUAGAUUGGACUCAAUUCUUUCAACUUUUCAUCAGUUCAUUGAUUGCACUACGCGGGAGAACAAAACAUUGGAUCUGUUGUAUGCAAAUGUUGAGGAUGCAUAUACCGCCACUGCCCUGCCCCCACUUGGUAGAUCAGACCACAAUCUUAUCCUUUUAACACCUCAGUAUGUCCCUGCAGUUCAAAGGCAGCUUAUUUCCACAAGGAAUGUGAGGAGGUGGACUCAGGAGGCCAGUGAGGUCUUGCAGGACUGCUUUGAAACAACAGAUUGGGAUGUGCUUUGCAGACCACAUGGGGACAACAUCAAUAACAUCACGGACUGCAUCACGGACUAUAUUAAUUUCUGUGAGGACACUAUCAUUCCAACCCGGACAGUACGCUGUUUUCCUAAUAACAAGCCUUGGAUUACCAGUGACCUGAAGGGUUUGCUGAACCAAAAGAAGAGAGCCUUCAGGUCUGGUGACAAGGACGAGAUGAGAAAGAUACAGCGCCAACUGAAGGUGGCACUGAGGAAGUGUAAAGACUCUUAUAGACAAAAGCUGGAGAAUAAACUCCAGCUGAACAACAUGAGGGAUGUGUGGAGGGGCAUGAAGCAGAUCACAGGAUAUAACGUCAAAGAUCGCCAGCAUUACGGCAGCCUGGACAGAGCCAAUGAGCUGAAUUUGUUCUUUAACAGGUUCAGCACUGGACCCCCUGUUGGCCCUCCCCACAUCGGACCAGUCUUCACACCCUCUUUGUCACCCUCUUAUGCCUUGCAUCGUACCCACUCCCACCCCCCACAGUGUACGUCUGACCACAAUCCCCCAACUCCAACCCCCAUGAACGUGACCAUUGGCCAGGUGAGAAGACAGCUGGAGAGACUCCAUCAAGGCAAGGCUGCAGGCCCGGAUCACAUCAGCCCCCAGGUCCUGAGGUCCUGUGCAACCCAGCUGUCUGGCAUCCUGCAACACAUCUUCAACCUGAGUCUGUUGCAGGAAAGGAUUCCGGUGCUAUGGAAGACAUCUUGCUUAGUACCGGUGCCAAAGAUAGCCAUCCCAUCUGGCCCCAGUGACUUCAGACCAG
rnacentral:lncRNA from 1 species